rnacentral:sRNA from 12 species
GGAACGGGCCUUUCAGGCAUCCUCUCCCAAACUUUCAAAGGCCAGCCUUCGGGCUGGCCAUUUUUUUGUCUGCA